rnacentral:rRNA from 1 species
UACGGGGGGGGCUAGCGUUGUUCGGAAUUACUGGGCGUAAAGCGCGUGUAGGCGGUUGUUCAAGUCGGGUGUGAAAGCCUUGAGCUCAACUCAAGAAAUGCACUCGGUACUGGAUGACUAGAGGACCGGAGAGGAUAGUGGAAUUCCCAGUGUAGUGGUGAAAUACGUAGAGAUUGGGAAGAACACCAGUGGCGAAGGCGGCCAUCUGGACGGUUUCUGACGCUAAGACGCGAAAGCGUGGGGAGCAAACAGG